UGCGUAGGUGGUUCGACAAGUCAGAAGUGAAAGGCUACGGCUUAACCGUGGUAAGCUUUUGAAACUGUUGAACUUGAGUGCAGGAGAGGUAAGUGGAAUUCCUAGUGUAGCGGUGAAAUGCGUAGAUAUUAGGAGGAACACCAGUGGCGAAGGCGACUUACUGGACUGUAACUGACACUGAGGCACGAAAGCGUGGGGAGCAAACA
rnacentral:rRNA from 1 species